rnacentral:lncRNA from 1 species
UGACAGCCCAGGUUUCCCCUGCAGAGCUCGCUUUCGUUGACCAGUGGCCGGUGAAGGAGAGCAAGUAAGGAAAUGACCAACUGUUUCCCAAAGAGGCUGUGACAAUCCACUGAGUAGAUUUUAUGAACAACUAAAGGGCCAUGAUUUCUCAUUUGAAACCACUGCUCUA